UUUCCGUGAGAGAGAGAGAGAGCGAGAGAAAAGAGAGAUCGCGGUGAAAUUCCCGCCUGGUUCUGACUCGCACAUGUAGUUUUGGCACGUGAGAUAAGUCCGCCUUCUUCAGUUCUUCUCUCUAUUGAUGUUCAACUUUUCAACCCUCUUUCGUUAGUGAGCGAUCGUCGAUUGCUUCGCACCAAAACAGCAAAAGCCAUCGCCGGCAUUCGCAAGCCCAGAGUUAAUUAGAAGAAAUCGGAUUCCGUUUCUCGCCAUGGCUUGGCCUGCAGAGAAGAUCGUGUCUGAUAUUGGCAAGAGUCUUGCCAAACAGACUCGCCCAAACAAAGAUUCUUUGUUGAAAUUGCUCAGACAAGCUGCUAGUGCUUUAUCAGAAUUAAGUCAGUCUCCAUCACUACAGCGGGUAAUAGAGCCAUUAAGCGAUUCACUUAUUCGGCAUAAUCUGCUUCAGCAUAAAGAUAAGGAUGUCAGACUUAUGGUAGCGAUCUGCUUCAGUGAAAUCAUUCGAGUCCUGGCACCUGAUCCACCUUUCAGUGAUGAAAUAUUAAGGGAUGUCUUUAAGCUUUUUGUCAGUAUGUUUGCAGAGCUUUCUGAUACGGAAAGCCCAUACUUUACAAGGAGAGUGAGAAUAUUGGAGACGGUUGCUGCACUGAAAUGUUGUGUGCUGAUGCUGGAUAUUGGUUGUGAUGAUCUAGUUUUGGAGAUGUUCAAAGUUUUUUUCUCGGUUGUAAGAGAGCACCAUCAACCGACAUUAUUUCAGGCUGUUUUGUCCAUAAUGAGGCUUAUUCUGGAGGAGAAACCUUCUCAACCACUUUUGGAUGUUACAUUGCUAAAUCUUCUAAAGGAGGAAAAGGCUGCACCUCUUGCUUCUUUUAGGCUCGCUGUUUCUGUCAUUCAACAUUGCUCAGAGAAGCUUGGACCCUUGAUUCAGCAAUUUUUAACAUCUUGUAUUUUGGACAGAGAUACCAUGGGGAGUGAGCUUAAAGAAUUUUACCAUGAAAUCAUUUUUGAAAUUUUCCAGUGUGCUCCUCAGAUGGUUUUGCCUGUCAUCCCAACCUUGACACAAGAACUACUAACAGAUCAGGUUGAUGUUCGUAUAAAAGCUGUUAAUUUGGUAGGAAAAUUUUUUGCACUGCCAGAACACCACGUCACACAAGAAUCCCGCCGCCAACUCUUUCUAGAGUUUUUAAAAAGAUUCUCUGACAAGUCUGCGGAAGUUAGAGUUAGUGCCCUACAAUGUGCUAAAGCUUGCUACUUGGCGAAUCCCUCUGGUGCAGAAGCACAUGAAGUUCUUACUGCCCUAGAAGGGAGACUACUAGAUUUUGAUGAUAAAGUAAGAACACAGGCUGUUUUUACUGUCUGUGAUCUGGCCAGUUCAAAUCCGAAAUUUCUUCCAUCUGAGCUAAUACUGCGGGCUGCAGACCGACUUCGAGACAAGAAGGUACCUGUCAGAAAGGCUGCCAUGCAGAAGUUGCUAGAACUUUAUCGGAGUUACUGUAUUAAGUGCUCUGAAGGCAUCAUAGCACGUAAUGACCACCUUGAACAGAUCCCAUGUAGAAUUUUAAUGCUCUGCUAUGAUAAAGAUUGUAAGGACUUCAGGCCCCAAAACAUGGAGGUUGUGCUUGCAGAGGAUCUGUUUCCACCUGCUCUUUCUGUUGAAGAGAGGACAUCACACUGGAUAUCUUCAUUCUCAUUUUUUUCACCUCUUCAUGUAAAGGCAUUGAAUUCAAUUUUAACCCAGAAAAGAAGAUUGCAGACGGAGAUGCUAGUUUAUUUGUCUAUCCGAAAAACAGAGAAGGAGAAUGUGUCAGAAGAGGUGGAGAAAAGAAUGAAAACUUCAUUUGUGAAAAUGUCCACAUCCUUUGCUGAUCCUUCCAAAGCAGAGGAGUUCUUCCAAAAGUUGCACAAGAUAAAAGAUAAUAGUAUAUUCAAUGCAUUGCACCAACUAUUGGAUGCAAGGGCUUAUAUAAAUGCCAAGUCCACUAGAGAUAAGUUUCUCAACAAGAUUGGAGAGAAGCAUUUGCAUUAUGAAUUUUUGAGAGUACUUUCUGGAAAAUGCAUGUUUAAUAUAUUUAGCUCCGAGCAUGUAUGCUGUAUUUUAGACCACCUUCUAAAAAAAGAUAUUGGAGAUCAGCAAUUUGAGGCUUCUUCUGUUAAAGUUCUUCUGACUAUUAUAAAUGCUUUCCCAUCCCUACUGAGAGGAUCAGAAGAGCUGUUCCAGAGGUUGUUGGAAGAAGAUGGCCCUUUCAAUGAAAAACUGCUUCAGAUCUUAGCAAAGGCUGGUCCUCAUGUUUCUAUCAGACUCAGUGAUAUUUAUCCUUUCCUCGAGAGGGUAUGCUUGGAGGGAACUCGUGUGCUGUCAAAAGCUGCUGUCUCUGCAAUUGCUGCAUUAACUAGUGCUUCUGAUAAUUGUGUUUUCUCGGAAUUAUGCAAGAAACUUGUGGAUUUUCUUCAUUCUGGGAAAAAUAUUGCAACUGUCCUGCAAUCUUUGGGCUGUAUUGCACAAUAUUCUGUAUCAGCAUUUGAGACCAUGGAUAAAGAUAUUGUACAGUAUAUAGUUGAGAAAUUUUUUCAUGAUUCCAAUCUGCAGUCAUUAGAUUACAUGCAUUCAUUAGACGAGGAUUCUGGGUGCAGCACCUCUUGCAAACUUAAGGUUUAUGGGCUUAAAACACUUGUCAAGUGCUUUUUGCCACAUCAAGGAACUCUUGCCAGACAUCAAAUUGGAGAAUUAUUGGACAUUCUGUUACAGAUGCUACAGGAGGGUGGCAUUGCAGAUGGUACCAUACCAAGUGAAAAUGACAAGGCUCACAUCAGAUUAGCUGCAGCAAAGUCUCUUCUUAAGCUUGCUAAAAGAUGGGAUUUUCAUAUUUCACCGCAGAUUUUUCACUUGGCAGUUCUGAAGGCUAGGGAUCCUUCAUCUCGUGUACGUAGACUUUUUCUAGAUAAAGUACAUAAGCUUUUGAAAGAACAUGCUAUUCCUAGCAGAUAUGCCUGUGCUUUUGCUCUAGCUGGUUCAGAUUGCCUUGAAAAUUCCUUGAAAUAUAUGGCUGAGUUUGUUAAAGAGUACAGUAUGGAGGCUCGAGUCCGCCAGACUUCUAAGCAGGAUCAAGAAGGAGAAACAAUGACGAGUUAUCCAGAAUAUGUUUUGGUGUUCUUAAUCCAUGUUCUUGCUCAUAAUUUGGAUUUCCCUUCUGUUAACUGUCAAAAUGAGGAAAUUUACGCUCAAUUUUGCAGCCCACUUGUUGUCAUGUUGCAGACAUUAAUCAAUGUCAGCUUUAUUGAUGGCAGUAAGAAUUUUGUAAAUGAUACUGUGUCUUAUAUACAAACUAUUUUUCAAGUGGUUAAGAAGGCUGAGGAUGCUGUGGAUAUUUCUAUAACUCCUAAGCUGCAUAUUCUAGCUGACAUCGGUAUGCUUAUCACUAAAGCAUUGAGUCGUAAGACUCGUACCAGCGUGCAUCCAUCACAUACUCAUGGACAUAUUUUUCUGCCUUCAUCAUUCUACAAAACUAGCUCUGGUAUUAAUAGUUGGGAGAUUAACUCAAACUGUCUUACUGGAUGCAAUUUGGAUGAAAACUUCAUUGAAAGGCUCCUCCAUAUUUUUGAAUCCCACAUUGAACAGCCUCCUAGUUCACUUGCUAAACAAGGUAGAAAUUUUCAAGGAGAUAAUCUGCGAGAAGAAGAUAUGAAGCACAAUGCAGUGAACUUGAUGUCAUAUGAGCAAGCUGAUUCAUUAAGAAGCAGGGCAAAGAAGGUAAAAAAGAACACUUCUCAUGGAAUCGAAUCCCGUAAAAUAAUGAGGCCACAAGUUAGUACUGGGACAAAAAGUAAACAGGCACUUUCUGCUGCUGCUUCUAAAUCUGUGAUGAAUAAUGAGACUUCUGUUGUGAAUGAGAAUAGAAAAGUAUCACAUGGAAACGGGGAACUGAAUCUGGCACAGGAUCAGCUUUUACCUUCUUGUAGCUCUGCAACUGCAUCACAUUUCUCAACCCAGGUGGUGGAUUAUGUAAAGUGUAGUUCUUUUGAAAAAAAUGACGGGGAAAUGACUAAUGUUAAUGUCAUUGCUGAUUCUUUCGAUUUCCUGGAGACUAACUUAGAAAGAAAUCCCACCUCUGAGGAGGAUGGAGGUAGGGAUGAGGAGCUAGUUGGACAGCGUAUCAAAUUAUGGUCUCCAUUUGAUAAAUGUUUCUAUUCAGGCACGGUCAGUGGGUUUGACUCUCAGAACAAUAGUCAUAAGAUUACCUAUGACAGCGGAGAGGUUGAACUACUAUGCCUAUCAAGUGAGAGUUGGGAAACUAUUAGCAGUGCAUCACUUUCUGAUAAGGAGGCACACAAGUUUCCUUCGCGACACUGUGACCUACGAAUAGAGUCCUCUUCUGGUGCUUCUGGGGAAGUUAUUAACGCUUUUGGAGAUAGAGCUGCCAAGGAGCAGACAACUUUAAAAAAUAAGGGGAAGGAAAUUGCUGAUAAUGAAAUAUCACUACAUUCUAAAAUAGUUCCUGCAUAUCUUAUGGACAAUUUGCUUACCAUAAGGAGCAGGGAAGGGGAAGAAAGGACGGAAAAUUCCAGUUUCUGCAGACACAUCUGUUUCAGAAGUCAUUGAUGUACAGGAUGCUAUUGCUCGGAGGACACGUAGGCGGAAAGUUUGAGUGGUUCUGCUCCAUUCAGUAGUGCUUUCUGUUUUUCAAGAGGAAAUCUUCGGGGCCAUGUGCAGAAUGUUGCUGCAGUGAUUUAACUACCAAGUCUACACUAAUCUGCAAGUCAUUUGAAUGGAGUGUUGAAGACCAUUUUGACUCUGUUGCCUAAAUUUCUGUUCUGGUUGAGUCACCAUGCUCAGAUUUGACUGUCCAAGGAAAAAAUGCAGGAAGUAUACUCAACCAGAAGCAUUGAAGAAUCUAAGUGGAGCCUGUACAUGGACAAUAAAGUUGAAUUAGGCCAUUAAAAUUGAAAUUCUAUCCAGGUCAACCUGUCAAAUUAUUAGUCCUUGUUAAUAGAAAGCCUUUGGCAUGGAAUGAUGGAAUCUCUUCCCUGAUAAUACACUGGCUUCGGUGAUGAAGGCUUGGCCUUCAAGGACAGCCUGGGCUCCUAACCUUAAAAGGGGCUGAAACAACUAUGUAGUGGUUCUUAGAAAUCAAUAUAUCUAUGUUUUAACAUAGGGUGUACUUUC